rnacentral:rRNA from 1 species
GACGAACGCUGGCGGCGUGCCUAAUACAUGCAAGUCGAACGCUUCUUUCCUCCCGAGUGCUUGCACUCAAUUGGAAAGAGGAUUGGCGUACGUGUGAGUAACACGUUGUUAACCUACCCCUCAGCUUGGGAUAACACUUGGAAACAUGUGCUAAUACCUCAUAACAGUUUAUGCCGCAUUGCAUAAGAGUUAAACGCUCUUUCGUGUGUCGCUGAUGGAUUGACCCGCUGUUCAUUAGCUAGUUGGUGAGGUAACGGCUCACCAAGGCCACGAUGAAUAGACGAACUGAGAGGGUGAUCGGCAACAAUGGGAAAGAGACACGGAACAGAAUAAUACGGGAGGAAGCAGUAGGGAAACUGAGGCAAUGGACGAAAGAAUGACAGAGAAAAGCAGAGUGAGUGAAGAAGGGUUGAGGAUAGUAAAACUAUGUUGUUAGAGAAGAACAAGGAAGUUAGUAACUGAACGUACCAUGGCGGUAUAUAAACAGAAAGCCACGGCUAACUACGUG